AUAUCUCAGAGCAAGAGGACUGGGUAAAUCGUGCGUGGCUAGCGUUAAUCCGAAGUACGUGGCUUAAAGCGUAAGCAGGCGGCUUAUUAAGUCAGAUGUGAAAGCCCUAGGCUCAACCUAGGAACGGCAUUUGAAGACAAUAAACUAGAGGAUCGUCGAGGGAGGUAGAAUUCCAUGUGUAGACGUGAAAUGCGCAGAUAUCUGGACGAAUACCAGUGGCGAAGGCGACCUCCUGGACGAAAACUGACGCUCAAGCACGAUAGCAUGGGGAGCAAACAGGAUUAGAUACCCCUGUAGUC
rnacentral:rRNA from 1 species